CUGGUUGAUCCUGCCAGUAGUCAUAUGCUUGUCUUAAAGAAUAAGCCUUGCAUGUGUAAGUAUGAACAAAUUCAGACUGUGAAACUGCGAAUGGCUCAUUAAAUCAGUUAUAGUUUGUUUGAUGGUAUUUGCUACUCGGAUAACCGUACUAAUUCUAGAGCUAAUACGUGCAACAAACCUCGACUUCUGGAAGGGAUGCAUUUAUUAGAUAAAAGGUCGACGCGGGCUUUUCUCGUUGCUCUAAUGAUUCAUGAUAACUCGACGGAUCGCAUGGUCUUUGUGCCGACGACGCAUCAUUCAAAUUUCUGCCCUAUCAACUUUCGAUGGUAGGAUGUGGCCUACUAUGGUGGUGACGACUGACGGAGAAUUAGGGUUUGAUUCCGGAGAGGAAGCCUGAGAAACGGCUACCACAUCCAAGGAAGGCAGCAGGCGCGCAAAUUACCCAAUCUUGACACGGGGAGGUAGUGACAAUAAAUAACAAUACCUGCUCUAUGAGUCUGGUAAUUGGAAUGAUUACAAUCUAAAUCCCUUAACGAGGAUCCAUUGGAGGCAAGUCUGGUGCCAGCAACCGCGGUAAUUCCAGCUCCAAUAGCAUCUAUUUAAGUUGUUGCAGUUAAAAUCUCGUAGUUGGACUUAGGGGUAGGUCAGCCGGUCUGCCUCACAGUGAGCACCGGUCUGCUCGUACCUACUAUCGGUGAUGCGCUCCUGACCUUAAUUGACCGGGUCAUUCCUCCGGCGCUGUUACUUUGAAGAAAUUAGAGUGCACAGAGACGGACCAGGCCCAAGUCCCCUG
rfam:Gossypium raimondii Chr08_contig_438, whole genome shotgun sequence.